AAAGUCGUAACAAGGUUUCCGUAGGUAUGUUGAACCGAAUCUCCUCGCUCUUCAUGGGAAACCGUCGCUAACAUAUCUUUCAGGUGAACCUGCGGAAGGAUCAUUACAGUGUUAGGCUUCGGCCUUAUUCACACCCCUUGUUGAACCUCUGGUUUCUUUGGCGAUGUCAAUCGUCAAACUUUAACUCUGAUAAUGUGGUACUGUCCGAGUCCAAUUGAAUUAUCAAAACUUUCAACAACGGAUCUCUUGGUUCCA
rnacentral:misc_RNA from 1 species